CUAACAAAACCAAGAUCGAGGUGAAUCUUUGUUAAAGAUUUUAAUGGAUACCCUGUUAAGU
rnacentral:tRNA from 1 species